rnacentral:tRNA from 1 species
GCAAUGGUGGUUCAGUGGUAGAAUUCUUGCCUCCCAUUCAGGAGACUCUGAUUAGAUUCCUCACCUAUGCA